AUUGAACGCUGGCGGCAUGCCUUACACAUGCAAGUCGAACGGCAGCAUGAUCUAGCUUGCUAGAUUGAUGGCGAGUGGCGAACGGGUGAGUAAUACAUCGGAACGUGCCCUGUAGUGGGGGAUAACUAGUCGAAAGAUUAGCUAAUACCGCAUACGACCUGAGGGUGAAAGUGGGGGACGGAAGGGCCCAUUCCUUAGGAGGCGGCGAUGUCUGAUUAGCUAGUUGGUGAGGUAAAGGCUCACCAAGGCGACGAUCAGUAGCUGGUCUGAGAGGACGAUCAGCCACACUGGGACUGAGACACGGCCCAGACUCCUACGGGAGGCAGCAGUGGGGAAUUUUGGACAAUGGGCGAAAGCCUGAUCCAGCAAUGCCGCGUGUGUGAAGAAGGCCUUCGGGUUGUAAAGCACUUUUGUCCGGAAAGAAAUGGCUCUGGUUAAUACCUGGGGUCGAUGACGGUACCGGAAGAAUAAGGACCGGCUAACUACGUG
rnacentral:rRNA from 1 species